rnacentral:rRNA from 1 species
GAGGUCCUACGGGAGGCAGCAGUGGGGAAUAUUGGGCAAUGGGCGCAAGCCUGACCCAGCAACGCCGCGUGAAGGAGGAAGGCUUUCGGGUUGUAAACUUCUUUUCUCAGGGACGAAGAAAGUGACGGUACCUGAGGAAUAAGCCACGGCUAACUACGUGCCAGCAGCCGCGGUAAUACGUAGGUGGCAAGCGUUAUCCGGAUUUAUUGGGUGUAAAGGGCGUGUAGGCGGGAGCGCAAGUCAGAUGGGAAAACUCAGGGAUCAACCCUGAGCCUGCAGUUGAAACAGGGUUUCUUGAG